rnacentral:lncRNA from 10 species
CGGGCUCGUUCAAACCUCCUCCCCUCCCUCCGCAGCCCAGGGUUUCCCCGGCCUCCUGGGGGACGUGAGAUGGACCUGCAGGAGAUCUUUCCAGUGAUGAAAGAAAUUGAAGAGGACACACAAAAAUGGAAAUAUAUUCCAUGUUCAUGGAUUGGAAGAAUCAAUAUUGUUAAAAUUUCCAUACUACCCAGAGCAAUCUACAGAUUCAAUGUAAUCCCUAUCAAAAUAUCAAUGACAUUCUUCACAGAAAGAGGAAAAAAAUCCUAAAAUUUAUAUGGAACCACAAUAAGACCAAGAAUAGCCAAAGCAAUCCUGAGCAAAAGAAUAAAGCUGGAGGCAUCACAUUACCUGACUUCAAAUUAUACUACAAAGUGAUAGUAAACAAAACAGCAUGGUGCUGGCAUAAAAACAGACACAUAGACUAACGGAACAGAAUAGAGGACCUAUAAAUAAAUCAAUACAUAUACAGUCAACUAAUUUCUGACAAAGCUGCCAAGAACAUACGUUGGGAAAAGGAUGGUCUCUUCCAAAAAUUGUUCUGGAAAAACUAGAUAACUAUAUGUAGAAGAAUGAAACAGAUCACUAUCUUUUGCCAUAUUAAAAAAAUCAAAACAAAAUGGCUUGAAGACUGGAAUCUAAGAUUUGAAACUAUUGAAACUACUAGAAGAAAACGUUAGGGAAAUGCUCCAGAACCAAAUAUUUCUUAGUAAGACCUUAAAAGCAUAGGCAAGCAAAGCAAAAAUGGACAAAUGGGAUCAUGCCAAGCUAAGAACCUUCUGCAAAGCAAACAACAAAGUGAAGAGACAACCCAUCAAGUGGGGGAAAAUACUUGCAAACUACUCAUCUAUCACAGAAUUAAUAGCCAUAAUAUAUAAGGAGCUCAAACAAUAUAAUAGGAAAAUAAUCCAAUUAAAAUUGAGCAAAAGACCUGAAUGGUUAUUUCUCAAAAAAGACAUACAAAUGGCCAACAGGGAUAUGAAAAAAUGCUUAACAUCACUAAUCAUCAGAGAAAUGCAUAUCAAAACUAGGAUGAGGUAUAAUCUCAUCCCAGUUGAAAUGGCUUUUAUCCAAAAUACAGGCAAUAAUGAAUGCUGAUAAAGAUGUGGAGAAAGAGAAACACUCGUACACUGUUGGUAGGAAUGUAUGUUAGUACAGCACUGUGAAGAACAGUAUAGAGAUUCCUUAAAAACCUAAAUAUAGAGCCACCAUAUGAGCCAGCAAUCCCACUCCUGAGUAAAUACCCCCCCCCAAAAAAAAAGGAAAUCAGUACAUCAGAGUGGUAUCUGCCCUCUCACAUUUAUUGCAGCAAGAUUCACAAUUGUCAAGAUAUGGUAUCAACGUAAGUGUCCAUCAGUGGAUAGAUGGGUAAAGAAAAUGUGGUACACAUACACAAGAUAAUAUUUUUCAGCCAUAAAAAAGAAAAAAAGUCCUUUCAUUUGCUGCAACAUGGAUAGAACUGGAAGACAUUAAGUGAAAUAAACCAGGCACAGAAAGACAUUAGUGUGAAUGUUCACACUAAUAUGUGGGAGCUUAAAAAAAAAAAAAAGAACUCAUUGAGAUAGAAGGUAGAAUGAUGGUUACCAGAGCCUGGGAAAGGUAGUGGGGAGGGGGCAGAUGAGUACAAAAUCUGCCCCCUCAGAUUUGGUACAAAAAUACAAUUAGAAAGAAGGAAUAAAGUCUAGUGUUUGGUAGCACAAUAGGGAAACUAUAGUUAAUAACUUACUAUAUAUUUCAAAAUAACUAAAAGAGUGGAAUUGGAAUGUUUCUAACACAAAGAAAUGAUAAAUACUUGAGGUGAUGGAUACCCCAAUUACCAUGGUUUGUUACACAUUGUAUGCUUGUAUUGAAAUGUCAGACGUACCUUAUAAUUGUGUACAACUAUUAUGAAUCCAUAAUAAUAAAA